GAUGAACGCUGGCGGCGUGCUUAACACAUGCAAGUCGAACGAUGAAGCCCAGCUUGCUGGGUGGAUUAGUGGCGAACGGGUGAGUAACACGUGAGUAACCUGCCCUUAACUCUGGGAUAGGCCUGGGAAACUGGGUCUAAUACCGGAUAGGAGCGUCCACCGCAUGGUGGGUGUUGGAAAGAUUUAUCGGUUUUGGAUGGACUCGCGGCCUAUCAGCUUGUUGGUGAGGUAAUGGCUCACCAAGGCGACGACGGGUAGCCGGCCUGAGAGGGUGACCGGCCACACUGGGACUGAGACACGGCCCAGACUCCUACGGGAGGCAGCAGUGGGGAAUAUUGCACAAUGGGCGCAAGCCUGAUGCAGCGACGCCGCGUGAGGGAUGACGGCCUUCGGGUUGUAAACCUCUUUCAGUAGGGAAGAAGCGAAAGUGACGGUACCUGCAGAAGAAGCACCUGCUAACUACGUG
rnacentral:rRNA from 1 species